rnacentral:lncRNA from 1 species
GAAUGAUGAAGAGCUAUUCGGGAGACGGAGGAGGAGCGGGGAAGAGGAGGGUGAGGAGGAGGAGGAAGAGGAGGAGGAGGAGGAGGAUAGAGAGGAGAGGGGAGGAGAGAAGGAAGAGGAGGAGGAGGGGGAGGAAGGAAAGGGGGAAGAAGGAGGAGGGUGGGGAGGGGGAUGGGGAGGAGUACAUGGAGGUAGUACCUGGGAGCAUGUUCCGUUUCCUGCAUCCCUCACGUGGCCUCCCACAGCCUCAGAGCCCCGGCCUCCUUGUCACCCCCAGCACCUGCCCCUUCCUACCACUUCGCCCACACACGCCCACUGUCUACUGGCCAGUCCUCCCAGGUUCCCCAUCUCCCCACCUGCUGGGGGGCCUGGCAGCAGAACAGGUAAGACCCUGAAUGACAAACAAGUGCUCCAUCCUGGUCACUGACCACCACUCGCUCCGGCUAAGGGGCCAGCGCAGGAGGCCGGGGCUAUGCGGGCUUACCCUGCACCUGCUGCGCCGUGGGCGGCCGGGGCUGGAGGGGCGAGGGUGGCAGGCACAGGGAGGUCCCGCUCCCCAGGGCUCAGGGCAGCCCCCAUGUGUCAGCUGAACCAUUGCCAUCUUUUGACGCCCUGCGUGUGUAACUCCUGGGUCCCCGGGGCAGGCGAGCGCGGGAGGUUCUCCGCUGUGGCCGUGCUGUGUGGGCGAUGCAGGAGGACGUCGGAUCUGUGCCCGGGGGUCAAGCUGGAGAGGUUUGUCCACACAGAGCCAGAACCCCGAAGGGCCUGGUGAGCCAGGAGCGAGAGCAGUCUCUGAAGGAGAGGCAGGUGGCGAGGCGGCGCAGAGCCUUUCUGGCACAUUCUUCCUGCAAGGCUUCAUCCAAAUGGGAGCCUGGAAGUGACUUCACUUCCUCCUCUUCCUCUGCGACGGCCACUGCGGCUCAGGCUGACCCAGGCUGGCCACUGUCGCGGGGAGUGGGGAGGCUGGGCCAUCUCCUUCUCCAUGUACGGAACCCGACACUUGCCACUUCAACCUUGGGCUCGGCUGCCGAGAAAGGGUCCCCCCGGACUCUACCCAUGAGGUCGGUCCUUGCCUCACUGUGUGUCUCGGCCUCUCCCACGGAUGAAAUAUGAAUCAUUCGCUACCUCUGACCAGGCAACAAGCACGCUCACAGGAAAGCUCAUUGUGAGCCAGCAAGAGGCAUCUAAAUGUCACAGAUGAGGCUCGUGAUGGGGACUCGAAAGGUGGCCAGCAAGCCUUCCCUGGAGACCAAAGCCAUCCUCGCCGCAGUCCCUGCCUGCCCCACCGCGGGAGGCUGCCAGGGCUCCUGUUCACCCGAGACGCCUCGCCACCUGCUGGGACGCGCAGCACGGAGGGAGCAGACCACAGGCUCCGCUGCUAGAGUUGCCCCCGCUCACGGGGCACCGGGAGCCCAUGCGUCUCCCUGAGCUGAAACGUAUGGACUUCAGCAGGACCGAGGCCGGGCUUCCUCCCUGCGUUUUUGGGGGGCCUCGUGAAGCACACGCCUGGGAUUUCUCUCUGCUCCCUGGGUGCUCAUCCUGUGUGGGAGCAAGGUGAAGUCUUGGUGUUGAACGUGGUUCUAGAUCCGGGUUUGAAUCCGGGUAAGCCUCCAAUACUUACCCUGCUCCCCUCUCAAGCAGGUGGUUGGUCACCUUACAAGGAUUUUGUCCCAGCUGGGCCUUCAGUGGAUGGUGCCCGGCUCUUUGUCUCUUACCAGAUUUGGAGCUGGGGUAUGCAGGGAGCGGGGAGGUGUUGGAAAAUGAGGGAAGAUCCUGAUUAUAACAGAGGCAGAACUCCUAAGACCAGCGACUCUGGGAUCUCUCACUGUUGGUUUGUAUUCAUGACGCUCUCUGAGGAGGAACGCCCCAGAGAAAACACCCCCUCUUCCCCAAAGCAGAAUGCCAUUCACAGGGGAGUUUGGGAUGGGGACUACAUGGGAUGGUCUCCAACUGACGAUGUUCUAACUGAUGAUUUUUUGACUUCAUGAUGUUUGCAUUUCGGUAUAAACUACUGGAAUUUUGAAUCUGGAUCUUGUCCCAGGCUAGCAACAUGCUGUCUGGUCCUCUCUUGUGAUGCUGGCCAGUGGCCCCGGGGCCUUAGCACCUGUCAGUCAGGCGAUCAUGAGGGAAAACAGGUGACACAGUGACAGCCAUUUAUACCCGAGAACCACACUGGUGUUCACUUUCAGUACAGCACUCAGUAAGCCACACGAGCUGUUCAAGAUGUCAUAAGAUGGGCUUCGAGUGAGAUGGCUUUGCCCGACCGUGGGCUGAUGCCUGACCAUGGGCUGAUGUACAUGCUCCGAGCAUGUCAGAGGGUGGCUCAGCCAACCUAGUAUGUUAGGUUAGGUGUCUGAAACGCAUUUGCGACUUACCAGUAUUUUCAGCUUAUGGCAGGUUUAUCGGGAUGAAACCCCAUCCUAAGCUGAGAUGAGGAUCUACAUGUGAAAAUGCAAGCAGAACGAGUCAAAAAUAUAUCAGAUGCAACUACGGUAAAGCUUAGAAGGAUACUCAUAGCUUUAAAUGCUUAUCUUAGAAAAAAAGAAAAAAAAAUGAAAUCAAUAACCUAAGUGUUCACAAAGAGAAUCUUGGAAAAUA